CAGGGAGGUUCGAGAAUAUUCAUUGUUGUGCCUCCAGGGGGAACGUUGUGAGGAUUUGGGGGGACAGCUGCAUUGCUUUUGGAAGCAAACUGACCCCUGUCCAGAGCUAACCGUUGGAAUGCAAGUGAGACAAGCCCAUGGCUCCUUCUCCUUGGCCAACACUCUUGUCACUUCUGACUGGAGAUGCACACUUUUCUCCACGUGUUCCCAUUUUUGCUUCCAGAAAGUUGGGGUGUGUUGUUGGAAGGGCAGACUUGAGUUGGAUGUCACUGAAAAUUCUGUUUGUGUGGUACAGUCUCUUACGGCUUAGGCCACUUUUUCUGAGAGUGCUGCUCCUCUCUGCCCUCAUCCGUGGUCUUAGUCUACUUGGUGAAUUGCGCUUCUUAGGUUACAUAUGUACUUACGUGUUUGUAGAAGCAGAAUACAUAAUGACAUUUCAGGUGUCUGGGGAAAAAUUAUAAUGUGACUGCCCUUGUGCCAGAGACUAAAAUUUUGUAGAAAACCCAGCUCUCUUCAUAUGACAUAACCUGCUGCGUAAGCUCUUUGUCUUCCGUGAGCCAUUGUUCAGGUACUCUGAGGUAGACGUCGUCCACUCCCUCAGGGAGAUUCCUGACCAAUCAUCCUAGAUUAGUGAUAGAUUUUUCCAGAGCAACAACAGUCUGCUUUGAAAGGCCUUAAGGUACCAGAGUGAACCCCAACCUAGAAUGUGGAAUAUCUUUCUGAAUAUGAAGACUGUCAUCCUCACUGAGAAUUUAGGAACAGUCUCUCUCUCUCUCUGUCUCUUUUUCUCUGUAUUGUUCUCUCUUCUAUCAUACAAAGAAAUGUUUUGUUUUUUUUGCGGGGGGGAUUGUGUGUAUGUGUGCGGUGUGUGGUGUGUGUGUGUGAGAGUCAUAAUGGGAAGUGUUAGUUUGGAAACGAGCUUUUCAAUUUUUCACCCACCUUACUAAACCGUACGUUAAGAGAAAUAAAAGCGAAUCAUUUUGAAUUAAUGCUUUAAAAAAAUUCUCCAGAUAAUCAGUGUUCAAGUUUCGAUUAAUAUACAGUAAAUCAUGAUUUUUCUAUAAGAGUGCCAAGGCAUUACUGGUGAAUUCGUUUUUCUGGCUAACAGUAGAUUCACCGGAUCUUUCCUUUUUCUCUUUGAAUAUGUUUCUUUUAAAUGUACUGGUCCCCUUUCCUACCCUAGGAAAGAACAUGGGGAAUGUAAUCGAAUCUUUCUUUGAGGUUUGAGGAUCUUACAGUGCCAUAGGGUCACUGUUCUGAGGAUGAAUUCUGAUUGUACAUUAUAGAACUGUGAAUGGGGACAGUGUCAGAGACUGGACUAAAUCUGCCCUGAUCCCAGCUUGGAAAUUGUUUUCUUUUUCUGUUAAAUCCUCAAUAUCAGUAUGUUUUGUUAUUUGCCUUUCUUGGUCUCUAACUUGCAAGGAGCAAAACGGAAAUUCACUUUAAUUAGUUGAUUCUGGUUAAUUGAGGUUUUUACUUUCUAGGAAAAUUUCAACCUGAAUCUAGAGCCUUAACGCUUUCCCUGCAGUUAACAGAGGAUGUAAAAUCAUUCUUAGAUGUUUAGGAAGACUGUUGUAUUUACAAAUAAGUUAUGUAAUGUAUUACCAUAGCAUUGUGUAACUUCACCCCCAUGUAAUAAUGGUAGAUAGAAAUAUCGGCUAAUUUUGCCUCUUCCUUAGAUAUAUUGAGAGGGUAUCAUAAAUCCUAAAAACUAGGAAAUUCUAGGGUUGGAGGGAAGACUUUCAAGAAUAUCAAUAAAGAACAUUUAAAUUCCCCCAAAGGAAAUUCUCCUUUAAAGCCUGGGCCUUUGUUCACUGGACCAGUAUGGAAAGCAUGCCCAGGAUGGCACCAUCAGAGGCUGACUUUCUCAGGGCCGUCCCAUGUGAUUUAAUGGUAGUCUGUGGUUAUCUUCUGAUAUCCUUGUUGUCCCAGCAUUGCAAAUUCAUCUUAGGGGUCGUGGUGUUCUUUUGUGACAGCCCAGUUAUUAUUAUUAUUAUUGUUGUUGUUUUGGUUUUGGUGUAAGAACAUCAAGGAAAUUGUCUAGAGAAGUCCAUAGAAGAGGGGAAUGGAGCGUGAUGAGGAAUAACUGAGCCACGUCUCGUGGCUUGCUUUUUGUUCCCGCUUUUAUGUGCCAACAUGAAAAGGAAUUGCAGGUAACAGUUCCCUUGUGUUGGUGGAAGAACAGUUGUUUUUUGGUUUUUUGCCUUUUUUUUUUCCUUUCUUCCCCUACCAGAUGUUUAUGGCCUUCAUUGACAUGUCAUUAUUACAUUACAGACUGUCUUAUCACAGUAUGUCCUGUGGCACAUUGACAAUGGCGUGGCCCUGUGGUUUCCUGGUGAUUGUCUCGUCCACAGAACUGAGGCCCUGGUGGCCAGCUGCAGAGCCCUCUCCAGGGUCCACCACCAGUUGAGAGUACAGGUCUCCCACACCCUUGAAGGUGCCGGAGGACUGCAGGCCAGGCCAGGGAGUUUCUGUACCAGCGCUGUUCUCCCCGAAGCUCAAUCAGAGGCUGGAACAGAGUAGGAAUGCGUGUGGCAUAGAGGAUUUAUAAUCUCCCAGCUUCGAAUCAUCUCUAGCAAUGUUACUGGGCAUUUGCGUUUUGGUUGUGAACUAUCUGAAAGUUUUUUGAAAUAAUCAGGAAGUUCCCCCAUUCACGAACCGACCAUCAUAGAUGAAACUCGUCUGGGGUGCAAGGAAGGGUGCUACUUAGUACAGGAUCCUCAAGCCUGUGAAAGAGGCAGCGCACUGUUAAAAAUACCUAGCUUACUUCGGGGGAGGAUUUGGCUGAAUACUGAUGAAGUUUAUGAAAUAUGAAUGUAGUGAAGUUGCUGUACGUAAGUGGUAGGCGUGUGUGAAAGAAGUAAGAAGAAAUAAAAUUGUGUAUAAAUGACACUCUGAAACUUGAUGGAAUUGUAUACGUGACAGGAAUGGUGACGUUUGGGUCCGUGCUUAAUGGGGGAAAAUAAACUGACUUAAAAAUCUGUAUGUCAAACUAGAUGUGGGGCUAAAAAUUACAGAAUAUAAAAUUAUUGGACUUAUGAGCAAAGAGCGCUACCAAGGAUAAAUAGGCAGAUUGCAAAGGAUAGAGGUGAAACAGAAUGGGGGGAAAAUGAGGGGCCAAUACUUGAAUUUAUAAUGAGCUAUGGUAAUCACUGCUUUAAAUAAUCCAGACUAUUAACUACUGUGCUGCUAGGUAGAGAAUGAGUUAUAGCCAAACAAAAGGCAUAAAUAUGAAUUUUAGGUUGUAUGGGAGAAAUCCUCUUGAUCCCCAAAGCAUAAAUGCAUGUACUGAGAAGCAAAGCUGCACACGAUGUAAUUUUUUUCUGUCUUGUCCUGAUUAAUUGACAGCCAACUGUAUGCCUCUUUCCUGAAGGUGACUUUACAAUCUCCAGACACAGACAUUUCUCUCAGAAGUGGAGUGAAGGAAGGAGAACCACAAGCUAAAGGCAAUGAAAAGAGGAAAAGUUGACACUUUGAGAAGUUAUGACGAACUUGUCGAGAAUGCCAAUUGACAAAGGCAGGUAAGGGAAUACUUGGAAACACAGAACAAGAACAGUUCUGAAGGGCAUGAUGAUCUGCUUCCUAGUGUGUUAAGGGAAUUGGCGGGCAUGUUUAUUGACUCUUCCAAUUAGUUUUAAAGAAACCUGAAGAAAUGGACAAAGAUGGAGAGAAGACAGCCAGAUGUGAUUCUGCCCUUCCAGAAGCAGAGAAGCUUCUCUCAUCCCAUGUGAUCGAUGCCAGGCCUGGGGAAGACUGUCUGUAUAGCAGUUAAUGGAUUUUCAACAUACAAAUCACAGAAGAAACAAGGGUAUAUUUAGCAAAUCUAAAAACUCUUCAAUAAACUGUAUUGCUUUUCAUUUUCACUGUACAGUCCAUGAAGCCAGUGUAUGGUAAGAAGGCCGCGGUAAGGAUACAGCGGUGUACUCCCAGGAACGUUUGUGUGAUGGGGAUAUUAUGUCUGAAAGGACAGGGCAUCUGGGAGGAUGAACUGCCCGUAGCUCUCAAUUGUCUGGGUAAUGAAGCAUUGGAAAGCAAAGGCAAGGGAAACACUUUGAUAAUCAAAAAUGAUUCUUCUUUUAGUGAUCAUAUUAGUUGACCAGUGAGGACAAGUGUGAAGGUGCGAGUUGCAUUUUACCCUCUCCAGCACCUGUGGCCCACUUCUCACGAGCACGUGGAUGCAGAAAGCGGGAACCCUGACAAUUUCUGGAGACCAGCCUGUUAACCUGGAAGAUGUAAAAUUUCACAAUUUCACAGCGUGAAGGAGGGAGGUUGAAGAUUAGCGAGGCUCUCACAUUUCUUGAGGCCCUGCAGAGAAUCAGUAGAAGAACUGAUGCGACGCCGAGAGGCUCUAGCAAGUUUCCUAAUCUCGAGCUCGAGGGUGUGUGCUCGGUGUGGGGUUGCUUGCUCAUGAUGCUGGCAUUGGUCAUGCUUUAUUAGCCCAAAGCCUGUUAGAGCCAGAAGGGGCCUUAUGAAUCAUCCAGCCUGGCCUUCCUCCUUUACACUGACGCCCACAGAGGUCUAAUAAUGCAUUCGAGGUCCCAUUCCCAGUAAGUAGCAAGGGAUACGGGUCUUCUACUUCCAGUGUUCCUUCCACUCAUGUGCUGUGCCGAGAUGUUCAGAAAUUCCAGUAAGGUACAGAAUCAAGUUCCUGCCCCGCCAGGGGAGCCCCCUGAGGAUAUUACAGUGUGUACGCAAGUUCAUCCAGCAGGAGGUGGUUGACGUGUGUGGAAGUUUGUGCACGUUAUGUUGGUUGUGCAUCAGUAAUGGAACAUUAUCAAUAAUGGUUAUGUUUUCCAGUCCCACUGGGCAUUUUUAUUAUUGUAGCAAAAUUAGCCAGUGAACUGGUGGUGGUAUUAAUAGAGCCAUUCUAAAGCAUAGUGAAGAUAGUGCUGGUGCCUCACGCGCUGCUGAAUCGGUAGAACGUAAAAUAGAGGCUCUGGAGGGGAGCAUCUGGUCGUUGGUCCCGGCCUGGGCAGUGAUGCUUGCUGGAGCUGGACGCAGCCAGAGGGUAGAGUGGGGGAGGCUGGCUCUUGGCAGCUGCCGCUUUUCCCAAGACAGAGGGUGUAAGGCAAGUGCCUUUUACAGAGAUGCUCAGCAGCAGUUCCACCCACGGAAUACUAUGUAGCCAGUAAAAAUCCUGUUGUAGUAGAAAAAUCUCUCUUGAUAAGGGAAAAUGUCAUCUGUUCGUGAAAAGUAAUAACCUUCAUAGCAGUGUGCACAGAAUGACAUCAUUUUUGUAAAAAACUAUAGUGUGUGUGUAUUAAUAUGGACCCACGUACACCUUAAUGAUGAAAUGAUAAAAUGGUUAUUUCCGGUGUGAGUUUUUUUUCUUUGUGCUCUUCUGUAUUUUUUACUUUCCUGCCUUAUACGUGUAUUACUUUUGUAACUAGAAAAAAAUAAAUCUUACUUUUUUUUCUCCAAAAAGAUUGUUUGUAUGUUGUGAAACUGGGGGUACUUUGAAGGAACUAAUUCUGAACUUAGUAUGUUACGUGGAAUUUCUUGAUGUUUUAGGAUGGGCCAAGUUUACUGGCCCAAAGAGUAGUACCUCUGACAGUCACAUUCAGCCAGGAUUGUCAGGAAGACAAGGGUCA